rnacentral:rRNA from 1 species
UACAGAGGUCCCAAGCGUUGUUCGGAUUCACUGGGCGUAAAGGGUGCGUAGGUGGUGAGGUAAGUCGGAUGUGAAAGCUCCGAGCUCAACUCGGAAAUGGCAUUGGAAACUACCUUGCUCGAGGGUUUGAGGGGGGACUGGAAUACUUGGUGUAGCAGUGAAAUGCGUAGAUAUCAAGAAGAACACCAGUGGCGAAGGCGAGUCCCUGGAAAACUCCUGACACUGAGGCACGAAAGCUAGGGGAGCAAACAGG